rnacentral:rRNA from 1 species
GUAGGGGGCAAGCGUUGUCCGGAUUUAUUGGGCGUAAGAGCUCGUAGGCGGCUUAGCAAGUCGGUCGUGAAAUACCGAGGCUCAACCUCGGAACGCCGGUCGAAACUGCUAUGGCUAGGGUCCGGUAGAGGAGAGUGGAAUUCCCGGUGUAGCGGUGAAAUGCGCAGAUAUCGGGAGGAACACCAGUAGCGAAGGCGGCUCUCUGGGCCGGUACCGACGCUGAGGAGCGAAAGCGUGGGGAGCAAACAGGAUUAGAUACCCUGGUAGUCCACGCCGUAAACGAUGGGCACUAGGUGUGGCAAGUUCAUCAAUGCUUGCCGUGCCGUAGCUAACGCAUUAAGUGCCCCCGCCUGGGAGUACGGUCGCAAGGCUA